GGAGGGUUGAGGCGCGGCAGCUGAUUGGUUACUAGCGCUGUCAAUCAAAAGCAGCCAUGUCAAGUGAAAAAAAGAAGCGUUGAGAACUAAUUGCGGAGAAGAAGGGGCUGUUAUUUCGAGGCGCACUGUGUUAAAGUCAGCGGAUUUGUUUAUAAAUGACAGUUAGCCUUGUACCAGAUUUAGGCGCUGUUGAAGUUGCUCAGCAUUAUGUUUCUUUUAUGCAGAUAAUAGCAUUACUGGGACAGUCUGACAUCGAUGUCCUAAGAACGGAAUAAUAAACUGAACCGGCUUCGAAAUUCGCGUUUUAAGUUUGUUCUAAAGAAAACCAGCCAAAUGAUGUCAGGAAAGCAUUACAAGGGUCAAGAAGUCAGCUGCUGCAUCAAAUAUUUCAUAUUUGGAUUUAACAUAAUAUUUUGGUUGCUUGGUGUGGCUUUCCUUGGAAUCGGAUUGUGGGCAUGGAGCGAGAAGGGAGUUCUGUCUAACAUCUCCUCCAUCACGGAUCUGGGUGGAUUUGAUCCAGUGUGGUUGUUUCUGGUGGUUGGGGGGGUGAUGUUCAUCCUGGGUUUCGCUGGCUGUAUCGGGGCCCUGAGGGAAAACACCUUCCUGCUCAAAUUUUUCUCUGUGUUUCUGGGGAUAAUCUUCUUCCUGGAGCUGACCGCCGGUGUCCUGGCCUUUGUCUUUAAAGACUGGAUUAAAGAUCAGCUCAACUUUUUCAUUAACAACAACAUACGAGCCUACAGAGAUGACAUAGACUUGCAGAACCUCAUCGACUUCACUCAGGAAUAUUGGGAAUGCUGUGGGGCGUUUGGAGCAGAUGACUGGAACCUCAACAUCUACUUCAACUGCACAGACAGCAACCCCAGCCGAGAAAAAUGUGGCGUGCCCUUCUCCUGUUGCACCAAAGACCCAGCGGAGGAUGUAAUCAACACACAAUGUGGAUAUGAUGUUCGGGCAAAACCGGACGCAGAGCAGAAGACAUACAUUCAUGUCAAAGGCUGUGUGCCGCAGUUUGAGAAAUGGCUACAGGACAACCUGACGGUAGUGGCUGGGAUCUUCAUCGGCGUCGCUCUGCUGCAGAUAUUUGGAAUAUGCCUUGCACAAAAUUUAAUCAGUGAUAUUGAAGCUGUGAGAGCCAGCUGGGUGCCGCCCCCCUCUUACGUCGCCCGCCGCCCCCCGUCCCACUACAGCAAGAAAGCCUCGGCGUACUCCUGAGGGAGGUUGUCCUGUUUGUUCACAUGAAGUGGCAGCUAGUCUUGCAGACACUCACAGGCCUACGCCAGCACGAUUAAGGUAGCGAAUGAUGAACACAAGAUGCACUGGUUUGUGUGUGUGUGUGUGUCUGUGUGUGCGUUUCCACCGUAACCUUUUACCAUCUGUAAAUAGUGCUACUUUUUCUAGUGUUUUAUGUGUCAAAAUGUGUGUAAUGUGAAAAAUGAUGUGUCCACAGAGGUUUGCGUUAACCAAAAAAAUGACCACCAUUUGCAGGACUGUAAAAGCAUCACUCAAAACACUUUCCAUUACUUUGACACAAAAUAUAACAAUUGAAACCAGGGUCCGGCACGAUUGGCUCGCUAGUUCAGUAUUCAGGACAUUGGUUCACUGAACGUUUGCUCACUAAAAAUCCCCACAAUGCACUGUAAAAACCAGUGAACUAAUGUUAAAUAUCAUAUAAACAUAUUAAUAACAGCAAAUGAGUUCAUUUGGCAUAAUGACUUUAUUUUAUUAAGCUACAGUCAGUGUUAACAUCAGGCGUUUAUUUUGUUCAUCUCUCAAUCAUCAUUGUAUUGCAUUGCAUUAUACUGUAUUUUUUAAAACUACAGAGCUUUGAUCAUAAAACCAAGCAUUUAAAUAUCUGACUAAGACAUUAUUGAGAGAUACAGCGUGACAUUAUAUUUUAUGUAAGUAUUCUGUUAUAUUGUUAUAAGGAUCUCAUUGAUUUAUAUCACAAGAACUUCAUUGUUUCGGUCAUAAAAAUAUCAGAAACCGCACCAAAUUGAAUGUUUAAUGCUUUUCUCUCUUUGAAUAUGAGCUCCAUAUUCCACUAUUUCAUACUAUGUGAUCCUGAUGUAUCUAAUAUGAUACUCAUCAAAAACACAUGCUUAUUGCAUUUCAAAAAAUUUGAUUUUUUUUUUCACAUGUCUGGCUUUACAAGGUCAAUUAUUAAAAAUAUGAAUACCGACCAUAUUAAGAUUAUAUGAUAUACAUUUAGGCCUAAAUAAUAAUCCAGGAAAUUGAUUAUUUGAUCAAUUUCUGAUUAUUGAUUAUAUAAUUGAUGCUGGAAACUUUCGAGUUUGUUGAGUGGGGGGGGUGAUUAUUUGUGAGCGUCUGAAGCUCAGUCAGGGAGUUUCUCAUUGACGAUGUUUUUUUAAUUAUUCUGUUAACAUUGGUUCAUGCACUUCAGCAGUAUAUUACAUUUCACUCUCAAGUAUAAACAUCUGAAGCAAAUCUUGCAGCUUAUGUUCACUAAAACAGUCAGGAAGUCAUUCAAACAUUUAAUAUUGUCAAAUGUAUUUUUGUCCUUGCACUAACAAAUUAGAGAUCCCAGAACACUUCUUCUGCAGAUGUUUCUCUUUCACAAGCAAUUUCUGAUCAAGGCAGUAUUUUUCUGUAACGUAUGGACUAAUCAGAAGCUUGUUUGUUGUAAAUAUCCUUGAGUGAUAUCUUAGCACUUUCACAAUGCAAACGCAGUUGGAUGGUGUGACACUCUGUAACACACUACUGUAUGUAGCACUCGUGGGUAAUUGUACAUCACUAAAACUGCUUUUAACAUGGUUUAUGUCUUUUUUUCUUUUCAAUGACAUUCUGAUGUAGCUUUUACAGUUGCAAUGCAUUUCAAAUGUGUUCAUGCUUAUAAAAAGCAAGGGGAGAGGGUUUGAUCUGAAGAUGUGAUGAUAUUAAUGUUGGCGGUUAUUUAGGCUGUGUCAUACACUUACUUGAAGCUCCAGCAAUAAGAACAAACAUUUUCAAUAAAUUAUUUCUCAGCAUUGUAA